AUGCCAUGGUGAGGGCAUUGCCAAAGUAAUUCUUUUAAUAUCUCUCGAGCUUCAAAUGAUGAUUCAUCGCCUCCUUGCCUAAAUGAGGUAAUCUUAUUUCUCAUCUU